rnacentral:rRNA from 1 species
GGGUUGUGAGGUUAAGCGACUAAGCGUACACGGUGGAUGCCCUGGCAGUCAGAGGCGAUGAAGGACGUGCUAAUCUGCGAUAAGCGUCGGUAAGGUGAUAUGAACCGUUGUAACCGGC